AGCAGAAGGAGAAGGUUAACAACGCCGUGCUGUUCGAUCAGGCGACCUAUGACAAGAUGAUCACUGAGGUCCCGAAGUUUAAGCAGAUCACCCCCUCUGUGCUGUCCGAGAGGCUGCGGAUCAAUGGUUCUCUGGCUCGCAAGGCCAUAAAAGAUUUGAUGGCCAGGGGUGCCAUCAGGAUGGUUACUGCACACUCCAGCCAGCAGAUCUACACUCGAGCCACAAACACCUAGUAGGGCCUCUCCACCUCCUUCCUACUGUUGGGUUGUCUUUUUUGAAUUUGUUUGUUGACUAUUGUUUAUGUUAUUUAUUCUAAAUUUAAAACAUGUGUUUGAAUUUUGUCAUGAUAUUUGUCAAGUUCUAAUUUAAUGUGUAUGAAUUUU
rnacentral:misc_RNA from 1 species